UACGUAGGGAGCAAGCGUUAUCCGGAUUUACUGGGUGUAAAGGGCGCGUAGGCGGGAGUAUAAGUCAGAGGUGAAAGGCUACGGCUCAACCGUAGUAAGCCUUUGAAACUGGGAAACUUGAGUGCAGGAGAGGAGAGUGGAAUUCCUAGUGUAGCGGUGAAAUGCGUAGAUAUUAGGAGGAACACCAGUUGCGAAGGCGGCUCUCUGGACUGUAACUGACACUGAGGCACGAAAGCGUUGGGAGCAAACAGGAUUAGAUACCCUGGUAGUCCCU
rnacentral:rRNA from 1 species